GAUGAACGCUGGCGGCGUGCCUAAUACAUGCAAGUCGAGCGAACAGACGAGGAGCUUGCUCCUCUGACGUUAGCGGCGGACGGGUGAGUAACACGUGGAUAACCUACCUAUAAGACUGGGAUAACUUCGGGAAACCGGAGCUAAUACCGGAUAAUAUAUUGAACCGCAUGGUUCAAUAGUGAAAGACGGUUUUGCUGUCACUUAUAGAUGGAUCCGCGCCGCAUUAGCUAGUUGGUAAGGUAACGGCUUACCAAGGCAACGAUGCGUAGCCGACCUGAGAGGGUGAUCGGCCACACUGGAACUGAGACACGGUCCAGACUCCUACGGGAGGCAGCAGUAGGGAAUCUUCCGCAAUGGGCGAAAGCCUGACGGAGCAACGCCGCGUGAGUGAUGAAGGUCUUCGGAUCGUAAAACUCUGUUAUUAGGGAAGAACAAAUGUGUAAGUAACUAGGCACGUCUUGACGGUACCUAAUCAGAAAGCCACGGCUAACUACG
rnacentral:rRNA from 1 species